GCUGGUGCUCAGCUCGUCCCUGAGCGGGUCCAUGUGGAACUGAAUCAACUGAUUUUGGGGCUCUGAGCAAAUUAGCUGUGACUCUACAACUACCUUCUCCCUAAGGACCCUGCCCACAGCCUGGGGAGACUCCUGGGCUGCAGGAGAGCCUUUGGGACAGCCUGGAGCUGACUUCCAGCAUGUAGCAAUGAUGCUACCUUGCUCCAGGGAUCACUGGCAAUGCCCUAAUUUUGCAGAUGGGGAAACUGAGGCACGCAGGAUGCAGAGUAGCACCCAGGAACUUCUCACAGAGCAAGGGGCUGAGAAACAAGGAGCAAAGCCUGCCCAGAAGCAUCCCAGGGAUGCACAGGGAGCACGGUAAACUGCAGCUGAUGGGAGAGUCAACGCCUGUGCUAUUCCCAUCUUCAACCCAGAGCACUUGGGGAGAUUCAGCAGCUUCCCCCCUUUAUGGUGACUGAACCCCAGAGCACUUGGUAACCUCAGAUCUAAUCACCUGGAGACCUGCAGGGACAUGCAGAAAGUGCUUCUGUAUUUAAAUAGCAAUGACAUUAAUCUCGGGGGUUGUUAAUCACAUGCUUAUUGGACUUGCUUUGUGCACUAAUACCAUGUUAUGCUGCUUCUAAAAUGAAGCCACCCAGAAAUCCAUGUUAGGAACAAAAUUGCUCCUGUUCAGGUGAAUGUCAUGCUAAAACAUUUAAAUUAGUCUCUGUCUGUGCUUCAUGUGGUGGGUUUGGGGAAACCAGCCGAGUGUGCUUUGAGGUAUAAAUGAGGACAGAACCAUAGGGUUGGGUCAGCAUCUACUCCAAGGCAGGGGCAGCCCAACUCAUUCCUAACCCCUGCACAUGGACCCAGUCACAUUUGCCCCUGGUGUUUUCCUGCUGUAUCUCUUUUUGACAGGACUGAUGAUACUGAAAAUUGCUGAAAGCUUCAAUGAAAAGCACUUUAGGCACUCUCAACUCAAUCUCAUUUCCAGUCCAACCCUACACCACCUUGCCCAUCCCAGAUUAAAAUAAAGGCACAAGUUGCCUGAAAGCCCAUCACAGGCACAGCCCUGCCCAGUGCACAGAUGCUUUGAGAACCCAAGGACAAAACGUUUGCUAAAUGGCUUGAAAAUAACACAAAGAGUGAUGGAAAAGGCAGUGGGAACUGGGGACAGUGUCCAGGCAGAGUGCAAAGGAUGGAUGGAUUCUCUGGUGCCUCCUUGAUGAAUGGUUGCAUGGGUAUGGCUCCAGAUGGGGACACAAGUGCUGCGGCUGCAGAGCUCAGAUCUGUAUCUCCAUCCUCAGUUAUCACCCUGGAUUCUAACACUUUGACAUUAUCAAAAUGAAAGAGUUUUCCUU